AUCAGGGAACAGGAAGUCAACUGACAGUCACACUGAGGGAAGCUUAAGCAAAAGAGACCUCAAGGUACCCACUCAGUGACAUACUUCCUCCAAGAAGACCACUCCUCCUAACAGCAACACUCCCUUUAGGGCCAUUUCCUUUCAGAUCACCACAUCCAUCUUACCCCUCGAGAAGGUGUUCAUGUUACUCUAAUCUGUCUUCUACAUAUCCUCUGCAUGACACCAAGUCCCGUCUUAAUCAUGAUGAGCACAAAGAUCAGGAAUCUGAGAAGAGUCCAGAGGAAGAUCCCAGUGACAGCAUCAGACAAGGAAGGCCGCCUCUGCUCCCAUCACCCCUACUGAAAUCUCUUAUUCGACAAGUCACAGAGCUCAUAACCGUCAGAUGGAGACAUGCCACCAAAGAGCAUGGAUACAGAUGCGGGUAGGCCGUCUGCCACUCUGCUCAUUAAAGAAGAGAGUGUUUCAAGAGAGUGUUUCAAUAUGAAUAUGCAGCCUUAUGAACAGUAGACCUUCAUCUGAGAGUUUAUUUCUGAGCCACAGUUUCAUCCCUUGCCCAAUUGCAAGUGUUUCUCAAAGUCAUUUUUGAUGGAGAUCUUGAGGUGGGAAGACACACCUUUAUUCUGGGCCACACCUCCAUCUGGAAGCCUGUAGAAGGACAUGGAGGCAGGAAGCUUUCCUUUUCGCCUGCUUGCCUUUACCUUGUCAGCACACUCAAUCCUUCACUGGCAUUGGAGCCUACUUCUUUGGGAUUCCAGCUCAUACAGAAGACCAACUGAAACACAGCCUUGUGGGACUGUGUCUUGGACUUCCUGUUCACAGCUAGCCGUUAUUGGAAUGGAUGGAUUGCAGCCUACAAGUCAUUCCAAUAAAUUCCUGUACGUAUGUA